GUGAGGAAUAUUGGACAAUGGGCGCAAGCCUGAUCCAGCCAUGCCGCGUGCAGGAAGACGCAUCUAUGGUGUGUAAACUGCUUUUGUACGGGAAGAAACACUCCCUCGUGAGGGAGCUUGACGGUACCGUAAGAAUAAGGAUCGGCCAACUCCGUGCCAGCAGCCGCGGUAAUACGGAGGAUCCAAGCGUUAUCCGGAAUCAUUGGGUUUAAAGGGUCCGUAGGCGGUUUAAUAAGUCAGUGGUGAAAGCCCAUCGCUCAACGAUGGAACGGCCAUUGAUACUGUUAGACUUGAAUUACAAGGAAGUAACUAGAAUAUGUAGUGUAGCGGUGAAAUGCUUAGAUAUUACAUGGAAUACCAAUUGCGAAGGCAGGUUACUACUUGUGGAUUGACGCUGAUGGACGAAAGCGUGGGGAGCGAACAGGAUUAGAUACCCCGGUAGUCC
rnacentral:rRNA from 1 species